AAACCCUUAAUAAAGGGAGGAGAGUAUGCGCUAUUCUUUCUGUGGUGCCGCUUUUUCACCGUCCAUCUAUUCGUCGGUAAGAGCUUGGUAAGCGCGGAUAAGGCAAGGUAGAGGACUAGAGGCAAGCGUAGAGGCUACGGAGGGUACCCGUACCGCAGGUGAAGGGAAGAGCGGGGGUGGAGGAAGCGGGGCCGGCGGCAGCGACGGUGCCGAGCGGCGUCGAAGAAGUCGGUGGCGGGGGGAAGGUCGGAGGGGCGCCAGGCGGAGGCGGAGUGGGCGUGCAGGAGCGAGCAGCGGAGGCGGAGCCGGAGGGGCGGCGCCAGCGAGCUGCGGGACUAGAAGCUGACGCUGCCGCAGUAUGACCUCAGCCUCGUGGAGGUGGCCGUCCGGAUGUUGCUGCGGAAGCGCGUGAAGCCCCAGGCGACGGGCGGGCGCCGGCUGCGGCUGUGCGGCGACAUGACCCUGCUCCGGAAGAUACUGCUGGAGGUCUUGGCGUAGCCGCCGCCCUUCGGGUUCUACGCUACCAUGAAACCUCUUUUACCCACCGGAUGAAGUUUCUAUAACCUCUGUCGUGGAAGUUCACUGCUUCUGUCCCUCUUCAAUCAACUGCAAUAAGUCCUGACCUUUUGUCUCUCCAUGUUUCGUUAUUAGUUUAGACCUUGACACCUCGGAUCUGGACCACAAAACGCCGACUACCUACUUCAAUUCCCACGCCCGUAGUUCGAACGACAAACGAGACGCCGUUGAUUUUCAAGUCACCACAACACAGAACUUUUAGAAGAACCUGAACUUUCUAAGUUACCAGACCUGACGAAGGAGCGGCCGCUACUACAAUUUUACUUUUUUGGGCUAGGUAGCUAUAUAUAAUGUCGUCGUUUCUUUGAUCCAAACCUUUCGUUCUUGACGGAACAUCAUCUUCUGUCACAGUAACCUGAUGUUCGUCGUUUUCCUCGUCCUUACAGUACAUAUUAUUGUAUGUGUGGAAGUUGACGAUUGGUUCUAAAGUUCCUACGUUAACGUUGGAUAGGGCUGGAAUCAUUACACUCCGAACUCCUGGACUUCGAUGACGAGGUUCUUAGAGAGCAGUGACCUAUCACCUUAAAGGACGAAAGGUGCCAGGAAAAAGACGACCACCGCUACGUUAGGUGCGUCCCACAUCGCCGUUAUCAAACCUCAAUGUUGUUGCUGUACGGUUUGACUUAAAUGUCAUCUUGUGUACAUGACUGUCCCCGUGUAUGAGUCGUAAAGUAUGCGU
rnacentral:rRNA from 1 species